rnacentral:lncRNA from 1 species
UUCUUUUGCAUUACUAUUUUUCUAGAUAAGUUACUAAAAAUUUAUUUAUAUUUUUCAUAACGUUCCUUAUACUUUUUAGAUUUGAAGAAAUUGGAUGACUAAGUUAUUGGGUAUUUAAUGUGGAGAUAUUGAAUAUAAAGAUGGGACAUCUUAAGAAUAAAAUUAAAUAUCUACUUUACUAGCUGAUGGAAAAUGAUUUAGCUAUCUUCUAGGUAGAUAAGAUUUUUUUUCAUUUUAUGGGUAAAUAUUAUUCAUGAAAAAAUAAUUUAUCCAUCUUGAAAAGUGGA